GUUGAACUAUGGUAAUUUACGGCGAUGCCAAAGGCAGCCUACACCUUACAUGCAGCUAGUAGAUGGCGGGCCAUUUUAAAUGACCAGCUCCCGUCCGGUUUUGCCGCAAGCAAAAGAAAGAAAAAAAACUGCACUUCCCGUUCAUACCGAUCAAUUAUUUCUGUUUGAUUAUCGUAAAGAAAAAAUCUGUUUGACAGUUGCUGGGGCUUUCCGAGAUGGGCGUAGAGUUGAAAAGCUCACUGUCGGCGUUGAUGGGUUCAAGGAAUCCGGCCCCUACCAAUUUGGUGGAGGUGCAAGCGGAAACGGCUGCAAUGAGUUCCCCGUCCUGGUGCGGGUCAAGGCGGCGUCACAGCAUGUGCAGCGCACCGGCGUGGACAUCGUCGCCGUCCUCGGCCUAAGAGCGAACAUGGGUCCUGAAAAGCUUGAGCGCAUAAAGGCUGCGAUGAGGGCCGUCAUCAGCAAGCUUGACACCUGCGACCGACUCUCGAUCAUCUCCUUCGAGGCCGGCGUGCCGCCCCACCGCCUCAGAGAGCUCAAGGACAUGUACUCCCUUGAUUAGCUGGAUGCUACCGAGGUGGUCGACCAGCUGGUCGCGAGGCAUAAUACCGACAUGAUCGCCUGCUUGGAAGAGGGAACCAAGGUUCUGCUGGACCGUACGGAGAGCAACGGACGUGUGGGCUGCAUGAUGUUCCUGUCAAACUAGGUCGUCGAGCAAGCAGCUGAGAUUUCCAUUAGCCAUGAUUUCCCGGUGCACACCUUCGGUCUCAGCGACGACCACGACCCGAAGGUCAUGAAACACAUCGCCGACCAGACCUACGGCACCUACUCCUUCGUCGACCAGGAACACAUCACGCAGGCCUUCGAGCUAUUCAUCGCCGGGUUAAUGUCCGUCACCGCCAAGUCCAUCAAGAUUACCCUCAAAGCUCAAGAGGGUGUCACCAUUUCAUCCAUCCGCUCCGGGUGCUACAAACAUGACCACACCGACGGGAAAUCAGGCCAGAUCAACAUUGUGCACAUCUAUGCCGGUGAGCAGAAGAACUUCAUCGUCAACCUGAAUGUCGAUGCGGGCAAGGGCAAACUCGCCAUCAGCGGCACCGAGAGCAGGGCCAAGCUCGUGACCAUAGGUUGCCAGUACCAAGGCAUCGGUGUUGAUGGCGAGGUCAAGCUGGAAGACACGGACGUUUGCAUAUUUCUACCGAGCCAGGAAUGCUCACCAGGCGAACUGGAGGUGCCAGGGCCAAAGCCGUGCGUGCAGCCACCGACCCCCGAAUGCCCACUGGACGGGGAGGGCGUCCGCCCUGAGGUGCCACCGCCGGAGCCGUGCGUGCAACCACCGAGCCCCGGAUGCCCACCGGACGGGAAGGGUGUCCGCCCUGAGGUGCCACCACCGGAGCCGUGCGUGCAGCCACCCAGCCCCGAAUGCUCACCCGACAGGGAGGGCAUCCGCCCUGAGGUGCCACCGCCGCAGCCGUGCGUGCAGCCACCGAGCCCCGAGUGCUCACAGGACAGGGAGGGCAUCCACCCUGAGGUACCACCGCUGGAGCUGUGCGUGCAGCCUCCGAGCCCCGAAUGCUCACCGGACGGGGAGGGCAUCCGUCCUGAGGUGCCAGGUCCGGAGACAUGCGUGCAGCCACCGAGCCAGGAAUGCUCACCGGACGGGGAGGACAUACGUCCCAAGGUGCCAAGUCCGGACACCUGCGUGCGGCCACCGAGCCAGGAAUGCUCGCCAGGCGAGCAGGACAUCCACCCUGAGGUAGCAGUGGAGAUCACGCGGGUCAGGUUGCUUGAGGCCAUCCUGGAUAUAGUGCAACAGCAAGCCAGGCCCGAAGGCGACAAGAUUCAAAAUAUGGGUGUGUCUAGGACACAUCUAGAUGUGACUGUCACAUCUAGGCUGAUUUUCACUCUAUUUGUAGUCUAUUUUUUCGUCCUGUUUUUUGUUUUGUUUUUUGUCCCUUAUAUAUUUGUG
rnacentral:rRNA from 1 species